GUUCCACUGCCUCUCAUAAAAAGGGGUGCUGGCAUGAGACUAUGGUUGUAUAGGCCAGCUCGUGGCAGUUACGUCUGGCGGGACUGAUCCGGGUACCCUGGGGGGAGGUUAUAUAUAGAGGACUGAAGAAAAACCGUUAGUGGUGCCUGGCGCUGAGAGACCGAGAAGGAGCUACGCACGGCCAGGAAGAUUUCUUCAAAAACUGCGACACACCCGAGUAGCCUGCUUACCGUGGGGAGACUGACAGAGAUUCCCGGUGACUCCGGUGAAGUGAGUGAUGGAGCUCCAGCGGAGAUGUCCAGCCGUGGGCGGCGGCAGCAGCAUCAGUACCUCCCUCAGGGCGGAUCGGUGGAGGCGGCCAGGAACAGUGCACAGUCCGGCUGUGGGCGGCGGCAGCGGCAUCCUCCCUCAGGGAGAACCAAAGGAGGCCUUAAGUGACCAAGUCAUACAGAAGAGAAGAGCCGGAACUUCAGAACAAGAGACGAGCAGGAGUCCGAUAUGGUCUCACGGUGGAACAUCAUUCAGAUAUGAAAAGGAAAUAAGAUGACGUAUUUCUCAGUGAUACGAAUGGGAUGAGAAGGAAGCAAAACGCAGCUCAGAAAGGGAUUGCAUGUACGUCAGUACUCCCGUCUGGAAUAUUCCCCAUGUCCCUCCCAAGAGCGUCUUUCUCGCUCACAAUGUGCUUCUUAUUUGCAUAAAUAAAACAACUUGGA